rfam:Aedes aegypti strain Liverpool supercont1.127 genomic scaffold, whole genome shotgun sequence.
CCUCACAUGGCAUAGGGGUAACGUGCCCUAAUUAGAAGUCAGGAAGUCGUGAGUUCGAUUCUCACUGAGAACA